UAUAAAGUCUAAUCUGCCCAAUGAGGAUUUAAAUGGCCGCGGUAUUUUGACCGUGCAAAGGUAGCAUAAUAAUUAGUUUUUUAAUUGAAAGCUGGAAUGAAAGAUUGGACGAGAGAAUUGCUGUCUCUAGUUAAUUUAUUUUAAAUUUUAUUUUUAAGUAAAAAAGCUUAGAUUUAUUUGAAAGACGAGAAGACCCUAUAGAGUUUUAUAAGUUAUUUUUAUAUUAAUUAAUAGGGAUUUUUUGUUAAUAUAAUUUAUUUUAUUUUGUUGGGGUGAUAGAAAAAUUUAAUGAACUUUUUUUAUUUAUGAACAUUAAUUUAUGGUUAUUUGAUCCAAUAGUUUUGAUUGCAAGAUUUAAUUACCUUAGGGAUAACAGCGUAAUUAUUUUUAGAGUUCUUAUCGAAAAAAUAGGUUGCGACCUCGAUGUUGGAUUAAAAUUAACUUUUGGUGUAGAAGCUAAUAGGUUAGGUCUGUUCGACCUUUAAAAUUUUACA
rnacentral:rRNA from 1 species